rnacentral:pre_miRNA from 1 species
AAUGUACUCCCUCCGUCCCAUAUUAAGUGACUCAAUUUUGUCUAAAUAUGGACGUAUCUAUAUACUAAAAUACGUCUAGAUACAUGUAAUAGAAAGUCACUUAAUAUGAGACGGAGGAAGUACUAA